AUUUGCGUUUCAAAACUUUCAAUAACUUGGUUUUUGUUUUGGUUUAUCAGAAAUGCAUUUUUAAGAAGGAGUUACAAUUUUAUGGCUCGUCUGUUGUGUAUCUCUGGACCUGCGGCAAGACGCUACAAACUGCAGCUAUUACUGCGUCAUCUCUGCUCUCCCCCAGAAAGAACUGCAGUUUCUCCUCUUGGCUGGAGCAGAAAGCCCUCUAUUCUAUCUGCCAGCCUGAGGGAGUAUCUCUCUCUCAACUCUCUGUGCCUCUCACAGUGGAGGAUGAGACCACGUCACUUUGUCAUAUGGAGAUCAUGUUUCUAAUUCAGAAACAGUGAAAACAAGUCCAAACAAGUCCUACCCCGCCUUGGGGCACAAAUGUUUAUUAAAAUUAAAUGAAACCAGAAAA